CUGGUACACUAGGGAAGCCAAGACCACAGCUUUCAGAUUGGGCAGAAAGUCUUGGUACUAAAGCCCGUGCACAAUGACAAGCCGCAGGUUGCCUGGAGCAAAAAUGUGAUACCACCUGUUAUCUGUCCAUGCUCCGGGGAAGGGGUGCGUCGCAUGUUACAUGUUAACAUGCUCAAUCCCUACCACAAGCAGAUGGAGGAGGUGGUGACCAUAUGCGCCUCUGCAUUAAAAGAUUUAGAUAAUCUUCCCUUGCCUGACCCCGUAGAAGAAGGUAGUAGUUCAAUAUAGGAGGUCCGACUGGAAGACCUGUUAAGAGCCAGCGAGAGUACCCAGGUAAAGAACAUACAAGAGGCCAAGGGGGCCAUGUUCUCUAAUGUACCUGGCUACACUAUCCUGGCAAUCCACAGAGUAGAAACUCACAAAUAGCUACCCCUUUGCCAACCCUCUUACCGAAUUCCCAUGUCCAUUCGGGAAGAUAUGAUACAGGAGAUGCUCCGACUGUGUGUUAUCUUGGGCCUCUCCCACAGUACUAGUGUUGAAGCAGGCAGAGCCGGUGCAAGGAUUUUUGCCGCCCUAGGCAAAUUUGCCGCCCCCCAUAUGUCCUGCCCACUAUGUGACAUCACAAUGCCCCGCCCAUAUGCUCUGCCAUAUGGGCCAACGCCAGUCUUCACAAAGUGUCUUUUAUCUGAAAAGACAGUGUGUUU